AACUACUGGAAACGGUGGCUAAUACCGCAUAACGUCGCAAGACCAAAGAGGGGGACCUUCGGGCCUCUUGCCAUCAGAUGUGCCCAGAUGGGAUUAGCUUGUUGGUGAGGUAACGGCUCACCAAGGCGACGAUCCCUAGCUGGUCUGAGAGGAUGACCAGCCACACUGGAACUGAGACACGGUCCAGACUCCUACGGGAGGCAGCAGUGGGGAAUAUUGCACAAUGGGCGCAAGCCUGAUGCAGCCAUGCCGCGUGUAUGAAGAAGGCCUUCGGGUUGUAAAGUACUUUCAGCGGGGAGGAAGGUGUUGUGGUUAAUAACCGCAGCAAUUGACGUUACCCGCAGAAGAAGCACCGGCUAACUCCGUGCCAGCAGCCGCGGUAAUACGGAGGGUGCAAGCGUUAAUCGGAAUUACUGGGCGUAAAGCGCACGCAGGCGGUCUGUCAAGUCGGAUGUGAAAUCCCCGGGCUCAACCUGGGAACUGCAUUCGAAACUGGCAGGCUUGAGUCUUGUAGAGGGGGGUAGAAUUCCAGGUGUAGCGGUGAAAUGCGUAGAGAUCUGGAGGAAUACCGGUGGCGAAGGCGGCCCCCUGGACAAAGACUGACGCUCAGGUGCGAAAGCGUGGGGAGCAAACAGGAUUAGAUACCCUGGUAGUCCACGCCGUAAACGAUGUCUACUUGGAGGUUGUGCCCUUGAGGCGUGGCUUCCGGAGCUAACGCGUUAAGUAGACCGCCUGGGGAGUACGGCCGCAAGGUUAAAACUCAAAUGAAUUGACGGGGGCCCGCACAAGCGGUGGAGCAUGUGGUUUAAUUCGAUGCAACGCGAAGAACCUUACCUGGUCUUGACAUCCACAGAACUUUCCAGAGAUGGAUUGGUGCCUUCGGGAACUGUGAGACAGGUGCUGCAUGGCUGUCGUCAGCUCGUGUUGUGAAAUGUUGGGUUAAGUCCCGCAACGAGCGCAAC
rnacentral:rRNA from 2 species